UACGUAGGCAGCAAGCGUUGUUCGGAGUUACUGGGCGUAAAGAGUGCGUAGGCGGUCCUGUAAGUUUGGUGUGAAAUCUCCCGGCUCAACUGGGAGGGUGCGCCGAAGACUGCAGGGCUUGAGUAUGGGAGAGGUAAGCGGAAUUCCUGGUGUAGCGGUGAAAUGCGCAGAUAUCAGGAGGAACACCUAUUGCGAAGGCAGCUCGCUGGGACGUAAACUGACGCUGAGAACGCGAAAGCGUGGGGAGCAAACAGG
rnacentral:rRNA from 1 species